rnacentral:rRNA from 1 species
AUACGUAGGGGGCGAGCGUUGUCCGGAAUGAUUGGGCGUAAAGGGCGCGUAGGCGGCCCGGUAAGUCUGGAGUGAAAGUCCUGUUUUUAAGAUGGGAAUUGCUUUGGAUACUGUCGGGCUUGAGUGCAGGAGAGGUAAGUGGAAUUCCCAGUAUAGCGGUGAAAUGCGUAGAGAUUGGGAGGAACACCAGUGGCGAAGGCGACUUACUGGACUGUAACUGACGCUGAGGCGCGAAAGUGUGGGGAGCAAACAGGAUUAGAUACCCUGGUAGUCCACACUGUAAACGAUGAAUGCUAGGUGUAGGGGGUAUCGACCCCUCCUGUGCCGGAGUAAACGCAAUAAGCAUUCCGCCUGGGGAGUACGGCCGCAGGGUUGAAACUCAAAUGAAUUGACGGGG